UACGUAGGGGGCGAGCGUUGUCCGGAUUUAUUGGGCGUAAAGAGCUCGUAGGCGGUUCGAUAAGUCGGAUGUGAAAUCUCCACGCUCAACGUGGAGGGGCCAUUCGAUACUGUCGUGACUCGAGUCCGGUAGGGGAGUGUGGAAUUCCCGGUGUAGCGGUGAAAUGCGCAGAGAUCGGGAGGAACACCCGUAGCGAAGGCGGCACUCUGGGCCGGUACUGGACGCUGAGGAGCGGAAAGCGUGGGGAGCAAACAGGGAUUAA
rnacentral:rRNA from 1 species